AAUGAUCCCAGGUGUGUGUAAAUGAUCCCAGGUGUGUGUAGAUACCCCCAGGUGUGUGUAAAUGAUCCCAGGUGUGUGUAAAUGAUUCCAGGUGUAUCCCAGGUGUGUGUAAAUGAUCCCAGGUGUGUGUAAAUGAUUCCAGGUGUGUGUAAAUGAUUCCAGGUGUGUGUAAAUGAUCCCAGGUGUGUGUAAAUGCCCCCAGGUGUGUGUAAAUGAUCCCAGGUGUGUGUAAAUGAUCCCAGGUGUGUGUAAAUGAUCCCAGGUGUGUGUAAAUGCCCCCAGGUGUGUGUAAAUGAUCCCAGGUGUGUGUAAAUGAUCCCAGGUGUGUGUAAAUGAUCCCAGGUGUGUGUAAAUGCCCCCAGGUGUGUGUAAAUGAUCCCAGGUGUGUGUAAAUGAUCCCAGGUGUGUGUAAAUGAUCCCAGGUGUGUGUAAAUGAUCCCAGGUGUGUGUAAAUGAUCCCAGGUGUGUGUAAAUGAUCCCAGGUGUGUGUAAAUGCCCCCAGGUGUGUGUAAAUGAUCCCAGGUGUGUGUAAAUGAUCCCAGGUGUGUGUAAAUGCCCCCAGGUGUGUGUAAAUGAUCCCAGGUGUGUGUAAAUGAUCCCAGGUGUGUGUAAAUGAUCCCAGGUGUGUGUAAAU